rnacentral:rRNA from 1 species
GAGUUUGAUCCUGGCUCAGAACUAACGCUGGUGGCGUGUCUUAGUCAUGCAAGUCGAACGAGAAAGCACCUUCGGGUGCGAGUAAAGUGGCGAACGGGUGAGUAACACGUGGGUAACCUACCUUUGAGUGGGGAACAAUCCCUCUAACGAGGGGCUAAUACCGCAUAAUGCAGCGGCUCCGCAUGGAGACAGUUGUUAAAGGGGCAGCUUCGGUUGUCUCGCUUGAAGAUGGACCCGCGGUCCAUUAGUUUGUUGGUGAGGUAACGGCUCACCAAGGCAACGAUGGAUAGCCGGCCUGAGAGGGUGUACGGCCACACUGGAACUGAGAAAGGUCCAGUCCCCUACGGGGGCCAGCAGUCUAGAAAUUUGCGCAAUGGGCGAAAGCCUGACGCAGCGACGCCACGUGGAGGAUGAAGCCCUUAGGGGUGUAAACUCCUGUCAGAAGGGAAGAAUGCAGGAAAUAACUUUUCCUGUUUGACGGUACCUUCAGAGGAAGCCCCGGCUAACUUCGUGCCAGCAGCCGCGGUAAUACGAAGGGGGCAAGCGUUGUUCGGAUUUACUGGGCGUAAAGGGCGUGCAGGCGGACCGAUAAGUCGUCUGUGAAAUCUGUCGGCUCAACCAACAAGCCCGCAGUCGAAAGCUAUCGGUCUCUCGAGUCACAGGAGACGGAGAGCGGAAUCCUCACGGUGUACGCGGUGAAAUGCGUAGAUAUCUGGGAGAACACCGGUGGCGAAGGCGGCUCUCUGGCGCUGACUACUGACGCUGACGGCGCGAAAGCUAGGGGACGCGAACGGGAUUAGAUACCCCGGUAGUCCUAGCUGUAAACGAUGGGUACUAGGUGUUGGAGGUAUUGACCCCAUCCAGUGCCGCAGCUAACGCAUUAAGUACCCCGCCUAGGGGAGUAACGGUCGCAAGGCUGAAACUCAAAGGAAUUGACAGGGGACCCGCACAAGCGGUGGAGCAUGUUCCUCAAUUCGAUGCAACGCGAAGAACCUUACCCGGAUGUUGACAUAUACCGGACAGCCUA